AUGCGUUAACGAUUGAAACGGCAUCCUUUUUUUAUUUUUAUAAAAAAAGAUACAGUGAAAAGCGUGUUAAAAC
rnacentral:sRNA from 1 species